GGGACUCCUACGGGAGGCAGCAGUGGGGAAUUUUGGACAAUGGGGGCAACCCUGAUCCAGCCAUGCCGCGUGAGUGAAGAAGGCCUUCGGGUUGUAAAGCUCUUUCAGUCGGAACGAAACGGUUCGCUCUAACAUAGCGUGCUAAUGACGGUACUGACAGAAGAAGCACCGGCUAACUACGUGCCAGCAGCCGCGGUAAU
rnacentral:rRNA from 1 species